rnacentral:tRNA from 1 species
ACGUUGGCGGUUCAGUGGUAGAAUUCUUUCCUUCAAUGUGGGAGACCUGGGUUUGAGUCCUGGCCAAUGCU